CUGUGUUUUAUUUUAAAAUAUUUUGUAUUAAACUUACUUUGUUUUUUUGAAAAUGGAAUAUAAGUUUGUUAUCCAGUUUUCAUUAUUGAUCAUGAAUAAUUUUGAUCUUUACAUAUACUAUAGCCAGUUCCCAAACAAGUACAGCUAGGAGGGAAGACCUAAAUCAGAAUAAGGGUCCCUAAGCACUGAGGCCAGAGAUGAGGGGUUGGGCCAUUGUUUGGAGCUACGUACAUUAUAGAUCUGGAUAGUGUCUAGCCUCUGCCACUUUCCCUGGGUGGAACCUGGACCAAAUGACUUAUUAUUUAAACCUUGGUUUGGCACCUGUGCAAUGAGCAUAAUAAAUCAACUAUCUCCCCAAACGCUGGUGACGAUCAAACAGUAACGUGCAUGUGAAACACUUGCACCCUCAGCGAUAGGAAUAGUAAUGGGCAAACACAGGUCAUGAAGAAUAACCGCAGCAAUGUGUGACAUGGUUGGUGAUGGACAAAAGAAAAACAGACAUCAUCAACCACUGUAGGCACGAUGGUAGUAAGAAUAUUGCUAUAGAGUUCCAGAGAACUCAUCCUAGUCAUUUGGAGGAGGGUUCCCUGAAAACUGGCUUAUAUCCCUAACGUCUGGCUCCGCUGCAGCAUCAACCUGCCUGGUAGUAUUUCUGUUCACAGACCACUUCCAAGGCUUUCUGCUGGACCGGCCACUAUUGAAGAGAAUCUGUGGAACAAGCUGGCCCUUGGAGAGCUCACAGGACAGAGAGCACUCGGAGCUUGUGCUCAAAGUGAGCAGCCAUCCCCUUCCUGGCUCAACCCCAGUGGAGGAUUGCUGCAGAGAAAUAGUCACUGGACAUGAGCCAGGGACACCAGUCAGCUUAACCAAAGGAAUCAAUGGACACUGUGUUUUCUCUCUGCAAAUGAGGAAAAUGACAUGGCGCGAUGUGACCGCAGGCGCGAUGUGACCGCAGGCGCGAUGUGACCGCAGGCGCGAUGUGACCGCAGGUGCAUUGUGACCACCGCAGAUUCAAUGUGAUCACAAAUGCAAUGAUGUGACCACCAUAAAUGCAAUGUGACUACAGGUGCAGUGUUGUCACCACUGCAGAUGUAAUGUGACCACCACAGAUUCAGUGUGGCCAGCUGUUUCAAGCUCCUGCCAUACCUUUUUAAAAUCUCAAUGAAUGGCCUGUGAGACAGGAUACACUCCAGUUUUAGUUCACCUUGACAGAAUGGAGAGUCGUUUGGGAAGAAGGAGCUCAGUUAAGAAAAUGCCUCUAUCAGACUGGUCUAUGGGCAAGCCCAUGUGGCAUUUUCUUGAUUAAUGAUUGAUACAGGAGGACCCCGCCCAUUGGGGGUGGUGCAGGUCCACCUGGGCAGGUGGUCUUGGGUGGUACAAGAAAUCAAACCAAGCAAGCCAUGAGGAGCAAGCCAUUAAACAAUAUUCCCCAUGGCCUCUGCAUCAGCUCCUGCCUCUAGGUUCUCCAGUUACCUGAGUUCCUGCCUUGACUUUCUUUGAUAGUAGGCUAUGAUGUGGAAAUAUAAGCUGAAAUAAACCCUUUCCUUCCCACGUUGCUUCUGAUCAUGGUGUCUGUAGGUUAAGGACAGUUCAGCCUAUUGUCAUUGAUUACUAUUAGGUCUACUAUGCCUAGAAGCUCCACCGAGGAAGGAAGAUGGAGACGAAGCUCGUGUGAGGCAGCGUGACAUCUGCAAGUGGGUCCGUUCCCAAGCACGGUGAGAGGAGACUGACAUUCAUUAUUACUACAGGCUUUAUGGACUCUGAUUCAGUGUGCUGUCCAGGCUCACCUUUGUGUGACAACUUCAAACCUUGGAAGAAAUACAGAAUGUCCCCACCCACAGUUCAACAGCUGACUGUAAGGAGUUUGUAGAAAAACUUAGAACUUGAAGCAUACCUUAUUAUUUCAUGUACACAUGCUUAUUUAUUUAUAUAUUUCUUAUUGUCACAGUCACUACUAUCACUGUCAUGAGAUGGGGAAUAUCUGUUGAUAACCACACAUGCUAAGGAAGAUGGGCAAUGUGAUUUUCAUGUUUAAGAAAGGUGUUUGUUGGGCUGUUUCUUGUAGUCAGCGUCAGUACAUUAUGUAACACAACAUACCUCCCAUUACCGUUGCUUGAUGUAAUAAAUACCUUGGUGAAAUUUU